GGACCCUGGGCCACUGCACCCCACCAGGACGGCAGGACUGAAAAGGCCACUGACCUGCUCAUCUGACACCUGAGGGCCGCUGGAGACCCAGGGACACUCCUGCUGCGGCUCAUGUUUGGAAGCUGUCCGGAGGCGGGACUUCCUCUUCCUCCAGGGGCCGCCGUCCGGAGGCGGGACUUCCUCUUCCUCGGGGACAACUGUCUUUUUCUCUUAAGGCCUUGGACUGCCUGGAUGAGGCUAUAAUAUGGUCAGUACUCUGCUCUACCCAAAGUCUCCUGAUUGAAAUAUUAACCUCAUCCAAGAAACACCCUCACAGCGACGUCUACACUGGUGUUUGACCAAAUAGCUGGGGACCGUGGCCUGGUCGAGCUGACACAAAAGUAACCAUCACAGCUGCUGCUAUGGUCUGAAUGUUGAUGUCACCCCCAGAUUCAUUUGUUAGAACUUAAGCCCCAAGGCGAUGGCAUCACUGGUGGGCUUUGGGAGAUGAGGAGGAUAUGAAUGGGACCAGUAGCCUCAUAAGAGUUUUGAGGGUCCUGGUUGCCCUUCCCCACCCUCCCGUCCCUGCCACUGGGUGAGGACACAGCAAGAAGCCGCCGUCCUGGGAGCAGAGAGCAGAAAGCAGCCCUCACCAGACGCUGAAUCUGCUGGGGCCUCGGUCCUGGACGUCCCAGCCUCCAGAACUGAGCGAUGAAAUUCUGGUUACAAAUUGCCCCCUCUGAGGUAUUUUGUUUUAGCAGAAGGAACAGACGAGGAUGACCACCGAGGCCCUUCUCAGGCUGCCGCGGGUCUCCAGGAUGGGGACAGUCAGCUGGGGCCAACCGAGCUGCAUGUGGUCAAGGGCCCAUGCAUGUGACCAGGGCCCGCCUCCCACGUCACCCAGUGCACCCUCAGCAUGGGACACGGACCUAGACACUGCCGGGGUCUCCGUCCUUGCAGGCACUGCCAGGCGCCCCUCCCUGGGAGAAGCUGCAGCUCUGAGGCUACGGUCUUGCAGGUCAGCCACCACCUGG
ensembl:lncRNA LINC03068 long intergenic non-protein coding RNA 3068